CAGGACUUUCCCCAUUCUUUUCUGUGUCUUUCCUCCAAAGCUACAACUUGGGAGCAGGUUGUGGAUGGGCAACAUUGGAUUAGGAUCAAGAUUCCUUCUUUUAUGAGUCUAAUGGCAUCUGUAGGCUAAGCUUCUGAGUCCUUCAGGCAGCAACAUGGAACUUUCAACCCAAGGGGAUCCAGAAUAACAGGAGAGCCAAAGCGUGAGCAGCAGCUAAAACAACAGAGCCAUGAAAAAAAAAAAACAGUCCCCUUUUCUAGGCCUGUCUCCUUGUUCCAGGAGUAGUGAGCAAAGAGACCAAUUAAUAGCAUGGAUGGAAGCCGAAGGACAGACGGUUUGCUUGAGAAGGAAAAUGAACAUUCUCGCUCCUUGAUCUAUGCCAAUUUUGCACGGGGACAGCUGCUGCCACGGCUGCCAAAAGGGGGGAAAAAUCAAGAGCUGCUCUUAAAAGAAGUUGCCCUUGCUGGUGCUCCGGGUAAAAAUAGAGGCGGCCGCUGCGCAAGGCUUGGCCCAGACUCCAGCCCCGCGAGCCGAGCUCGAGCAGCGGCCGCGAUCCGGCGUGAUCCCCGGGAGCUGCCAGCAGGUGUUGCUCAAG
ensembl:lncRNA